rnacentral:tRNA from 1 species
GGAUUAGCUCAGUCGGUAGAGCACCUGAUUCGUAAUCAUGAGGUCGUCGGUUCAAGUCCGACAUC